UCCGGUGAAAAUAGGUCCCUAUGUGAGUAUACAAGUAUAUAUGAGAAUGAAUCUAAUCCGUAGGAUUAGAUGAAAUUCAAAGGCUAUGAUUAAAAACAAGUAAUGAUUAUAAUGUAAAUAACCUCCAAACUACCAAAUAAUAAAAAUACAUACGUUUCUCUCUCUAGAAUUACUAUAACUGUUUACCCUCUCUGUGAAAUUCAGCCUCAUUCCUCUCUCUCUCACCAUUUUCUCUCUCCUAAAAAAUCCUCCAUUAAAGCUUCAAGAAAACACCGAUCAAGCUUCAUAUCACUCGAUUAUUCAUUGAUUUUAGGUAGUUUGUCGCCGAAUUCUUGUAUUUUUCUUCCUUUCUUCUACAAUUUUUGUCAAUUUUAACCUAAUUUUUUUGAAUUCGUAUACAAUUGAAGAUGAAGAAGCAGAAAAUUCAUAAAAUCAAGCCGAAAAACCUACGAACGGAGAAGGUACACAACAAUACGCAAAUUUCUAAUUAUUCUCUUGUUCUAGAAUUUAAUUUAAGUUAAUUUAUGUUUACUAAUUAUGAUUUUGAGGAAAAAUAUGAAAAGUGAAGAUGAAUUUGCCAAAAAAAUCGAAGAAAAUCACAAUUCAGAUUCAGAAGAUCGAGAAGAACCGUAGGGAUGAUGAACCUUUGGAAAAAUGAAAGUUGAUGUUGCUUCUAUUUCAUCAACUCCAGAAAAAACUGAAGCUCCACCCAAGGAAAAAGAAGAAGAUGAUACAAAAGGUGCAAGAAAGAGUGCAUAUACUUGCAGAAAAGGAGAAGGAACUUGAAAAGUUUCAGGAAAUGAAGAAAUUGAGUAUUGUGGGAAGAUAUUGGCGCAUGAGGAAAAUGAUGAACAUCAUGUUUUUAUUUCAAAGUCAAGGAAAUGGGCAAAACGAAUCAAUUUUGACGGGAUCGUAUUCUUUAGCAUCAAUUGUUGAAUUCUUGUACAUACUUUGUGAUGAAUUCGUAAAAUUAGUAAACCGACAAUUUUUAUCUUGGAUGGUUUUGAUCAACUUGUAAUACAUUCAUUUGCUUGAAGAUUUAACCUUGUUUAAAAGUUUCACAAAUAAA